CAGACAGGAACUAAUUUGAAUUUGAAACGAUCGCCAUAAGCACGAGAUUCUUAGAACGGCUUGCGAGAAUGGAAGCCCAGUUAGCCUAGCGCAGUUCAAUAGUGACGUGGGCGGCACGUGGGCACGCGUAUACGUUCCUCUUCAAUUACGUAUGAGCAACGGUAUAAACUAUAAAGGAAGAGAUGUUGCCGUUGACACAAGAAGCCGAAGGAGAAAGUGAUCGACCAUUCAACUCAACCAAUUCUCAAAAUGUAAAAUAAAAACGUGAAACGUAGACAUCAAAAGAGACAAAACCAUAUUGAUAAUACGUUCAAUUAACCAGCGCUCUUAAGUAUAUUUCUCAGUACCAAAUACCCGCGAUCUGAAAACUGUUUUUCUUAAAUUCCUGUAACAAAUCCACGUGAAGGUAGAGAAGAGAAAAGCAAAGAGUAAAACGAACGCGAGGGCGAAGAAGGGAGAAAGAAAAAAGUGUGCACGGAGGAACUCGCUUAAUCGUGCGAUAAAUUAGUUCAGUUGGAACUAGUGUGGAAGGGGUUGUGGGAAACGGAUGGCGCAUUCGUACCAAGGGUAGAUCCCAUUGGGCGAAACGAGAAGGGUGAGUGGUCCAAACAGAGACGCGGAAGGAUUCAGGCUGGUAGUAGCACCUGGAGGAAGGAGGAAAGUGCGACUGCUAUUCGAGAGGCAGCACCGGCUUGCAUAAACACAAGUUGAUUUUUGCGCAAGCGAACGAACGAGCGACCAAUCGACGGAGAAUGCCGCGCUCGCUUUUGAUUCAAUAGAACCUGUUUACUGCAUGAAUGAUUGAACGGUGCCGAAGAACUCGAUUCGAGCAUCGCCGAUUACACUAACAUCUCCCGCCGAUCGAGCUGUUUUUUGGAUGAGGAUAAAAUUAGACAUCGGUCGUUACGUGUGUUGGCUUUAAAGUGACUCGAUCGUCACAAAUCGUAUACAUAAAACAUGGAAAUUGAAUAUCAAGAAAAUCAAAUGUGGCUCCGUUUUAGUAUUUAGAACAAGAGUAUGAUAUGUUAAUCGAAAACUUUUUCUUAAGGAUUGCAAUAAUUGUUCCACAAUUGCGAAAACUUAUAGUUUUUGAAAUAAGAAACGUCCUAAUACUAAAGUGGUAUCAUUAAAAUGGUAAAAUCAGAUUUUUUAAUAAAAAGAUAACUCGAGUUGAGAAUGGAAGAAAAAGACAGAAAAAUUCAGAUGCUUAAAAUAUUUGCGAAUUUAUCGUCACCGAUUAAUAGAGAGCAACGUGAGCAGAGAAUGAAUCACGUUCAUUAUCAGAAUAAUUAAAUGUGCCAAUUUAAGUGCCACGACAGAAAUCUAAUUAUCAGCAGAGUAAUAAGCGCUAUUUUUCUCCGUUCAAGAUGUUCGUCAGAAAACGUGAACGAAAGACAUGCUGCAAAGCGUAUCCACGCAAUAACACGGAGUGGUGUGUAUGAAUCUCCUGCCGAGAGAUGUAGACACCGAGGAGAGGAGGCGAACGAGAAACAGGGCAAAGCGGAAACUGUAGGAACAAUAUGCUAGAAACGUCCAGCCAGCCAGCCAGCCAGCCUCUCCAAUCCCCUUUUCUAGCUCUUCCGUCAUCCGCCACUCUUAGCUCAAGUAUUUCGACCAGAGGAGAGGAUUCUUACCACGGGAAUAUUCCUUUGUUCCUACUUCACAGGUUCUUGGGCGAUAAAGAACACAGGCUGGAGAGGCAUGACAUCUCAUCUCGAGAGCUCCACUUCAACCACCUCCUCCUGUUCUCGCUCGGCCUUUCUCUAUUUCUCUUCUCUUCGACUUCCAGCCCUAUUCUCGUCUAUUCGCGUGUCGUCUGACGCCCGUAUCAUCUGUCUCUUUCCAAUGGCCACUUCGUACGCUCGCAUUUGUUGAAGUUUUAAUUACGAAUAACUAACUCUUAAUGCAAAUCUCCGUUCCUUUUAUUGUCUUGUUACAUUUUUUAAGCUUACACUUAAUCCGGAGAUUCGAGAAAAACGUGUUUAUUCACUUGUUAAGAAAUUCGAAUUUUGUGAAACGUGAACAAAUAAAAUGUUAAAUAUAGAAAUAUAGAUCUGUCGUUAAAAAGUUGGAAGCUGUGUAUAUGUAUAUGACACACUUAAAAAGAGGCUGAAGAUGAAAGGCUGAAAGGAGAGAGAUAUUCGUCCACGGUGGGCAAACAAACAUUGCCGAAAGGACAAGUUUUUCGUGCAAUCGUGUCCUUGAGGAUCGAUGGCCACUUCACGGGAACAUCGGACCCAUCGUGGCUACUGGCUACCGGUUCAAGGACAGUCACGGUUUCCAUGGAUUAAAUCAAUCGUCCCGUAGCUCGGAGGAGAAUUUUUCUAUCAAUCCGGUUGCACCGCAUCGCGUCGCGACGGUUAAAACUUUAAUUGAGCACGAUCCCGAUACUAUAGUAAAUGUUGUAUGUCCAAGGAAUUUCGCGACGCUCCGUGUAACGCUGUACCGGAUAUCAGCUAGGAUCUUUGAGAGUGUAAGUACGCGGCUUGUUUAACCGACGAUUUGAAUAUGAAAUUAGAGCGUGACCUGGUUCGAAUUAAUUCCCGCUCGACGCACCCUUUCGCCAGUUUCUUCAGUACACGUUGUUUUAUCUGUCCUAGUAAAGAAUGACUUCGUGCAGUACGAAUUGUAAAAUCAUGAAUUAUUAUAAUAAGAGUAAAUGUACUGUGUAA